CGGGACGUGGCUCAGCUUGGCAGAGCUCCCGGCUGGGGGCCGGGCGGUCGAGGGUUCAAAUCCCUCCGUCCCGACCA
rnacentral:tRNA from 1 species